rnacentral:rRNA from 1 species
AAUAUUGGUCAAUGGAGGGAACUCUGAGCCAGCCAUGCCGCGUGCGGGAAGAAGGCCCUAUGGGUUGUACACCGCUUUUAACCGGGAGUAAUAAGGGCCGUGCGCGGUCCGAUGAGAGUACCGGUGGAAUAUGCAUCGGCUAACUCCGUGCCAGCAACCGCGGUAAUACGGAGGAUGCGAGCGUUAUCCGGACUUAUUGGGUUUAAAGGGUGCGUAGGCGGAGCGUUAAGUCAGCGGUGAAAUGUCCCGGCUCAACCGGGGAGCUGCCGUUGAUACUGUCGCACUAGGGUCCGAACGGCGCCGGCGGAAUAUGUAAUGUAGCGGUGAAAUGCAUAGAUAUUACAUAGAACACCGAUCGCGAAGGCAGCUGGCGAGGACGGCACCGACGCUGAGGCACGAAGGCGUGGGGAUCGAAC